CUAUAAUCAUACUCGUUAAGUUUUAAAUUGGGAAUGGGAUUUCCAUCCAUGAAGUAGCUUUGGAAAUCCAAUUCCCAAUAUGAACUGAAAAGGCAGAUGAUAAUUUGCAUUUCCAUUAAAUCUUAACAUACGUUGGACAAUGCAGCUUUGCAUGAUAUAUAGCGAGACAAAUUUUCCCAAAAGACAGCCCCCUAUUGCCACCAAGAAAAAAAAAAAAAAAAAAAAACGUAGUGC
rnacentral:misc_RNA from 1 species